rnacentral:rRNA from 1 species
GACGAACGCUGGCGGCGUGCUUAACACAUGCAAGUCGAGCGCUGAAGCUCAGCUUUUGUUGGGUGGAUGAGUGGCGAACGGGUGAGUAACACGUGAGUAACCUGCCUCCUUCUUUGGGAUAACGCCCGGAAACGGGUGCUAAUACUGGAUAUUCACUGGUCUUCGCAUGGGGGUUGGUGGAAAGGGUUUUUCUGGUGGGGGAUGGGCUCGCGGCCUAUCAGCUUGUUGGUGGGGUGAUGGCCUACCAAGGCUUUGACGGGUAGCCGGCCUGGGAGGGUGACCGGUAACAUUGGGAGGGAGCUACGGCCCAGGCUGCUACGGGAGGCAGCAGUGGGGAAUAUUGCAGAAUGGGCGCAAGCCUGAUGCAGCGACGGCGCGUGAGGGAUGGAGGCCGUCGGGUUGUGAACCUCUUUCGCUCAUGGUCAAGCCGCAACAAUGGUUGUGGUGAGGGUAGUGGGUAAAGAAGCGCCGGCUAACUACGUG